rnacentral:rRNA from 1 species
CAGCCGCCGCGGUAAUACGUAGGGGGCGAGCGUUACCCGGAUUCACUGGGCGUAAAGGGGGUGUAGGCGGCUCGGUAAGUCGGGUGUGAAAUCCCACGGCUCAACCGUGGAAUUGCGCCCGAAACUGCCGAGCUUGGGGCCGGUAGAGGGAGACGGAACUGCCGGUGUAGGGGUGAAAUCCGUAGAUAUCGGCAGGAACGCCGGUGGGGAAGCCGGUCUCCUGGGCCGCGCCCGACGCUGAGGCCCGAAAGCUAGGGGAGCAAACCGGAUUAGAUACCCGGGUAGUCCUAGCCGUAAACGAUGCCCACUAGGUGUGGGGGAGUAUUUCCUCCGUGCUGUAGCUAACGCGUUAAGUGGGCCGCCUGGGGAGUACGCCCGCAAGGGUGAGACUUAAAGGAAUUGGCGGG